rnacentral:lncRNA from 1 species
AUUUUUUUUUUCCUAAUUUUUUUGAGAAAUUCACUGCCCAAAGUAUUAGGAAGGUUGAAACAUAUAAAAAAACCGGAGCACACAAAAAGUUGAUUUGGUUGUGCCAGACACAGCCGUCUAAAACCAUGCGUUGGGUGUGUCAGACAACCUCGCAACCACCCCAACCCCCACCCCCACUGGGUUGGGAACAGUCCUCUAUGACGCUGAUCACCCCAGAUCGUCUCGACGCUUCGUGUCAUGCGCAUCAAUAAAAUAGAACACCUUCAAGCGGACUC